rnacentral:rRNA from 1 species
UACGUAGGGCGCGAGCGUUGUCCGGAAUUAUUGGGCGUAAAGAGCUCGUAGGCGGCCUGUUGCGUCCGCUGUGAAAUCCCGGGGCUCAACCCCCGGGCCUGCAGUGGAUACGGGCUGGCUGGAGGCAGGCAGGGGAGAACGGAAUUCCUGGUGUAGCGGUGAAAUGCGCAGAUAUCAGGAGGAACACCAAUGGCGAAGGCAGCUCGCUGGGACGGUACUGACGCUGAGACGCGAAAGCGUGGGGAGCAAACAGG